GCAAGUCGAGCGGACCGACGGGAGCUUGCUCCCUUAGGUCAGCGGCGGACGGGUGAGUAACACGUGGGUAACCUGCCUGUAAGACUGGGAUAACUCCGGGAAACCGGGGCUAAUACCGGAUGCUUGAUUGAACCGCAUGGUUCAAUCAUGAAAGGCGGCUUCGGCUGCCGUUUACAGAUGGACCCGCGGCGCAUUAGCUAGUUGGUGAGGUAACGGCUCACCAAGGCGACGAUGCGUAGCCGACCUGAGAGGGUGAUCGGCCACACUGGGACUGAGACACGGCCCAGACUCCUACGGGAGGCAGCAGUAGGGAAUCUUCCGCAAUGGACGAAAGUCUGACGGAGCAACGCCGCGUGAGUGAUGAAGGUUUUCGGAUCGUAAAGCUCUGUUGUUAGGGAAGAACAAGUACCGUUCGAAUAGGGCGGUACCUUGACGGUACCUAACCAGAAAGCCACGGCUAACUACGUGCCAGCAGCCGCGGUAAUACGUAGGUGGCAAGCGUUGUCCGGAAUUAUUGGGCGUAAAGCGCGCGCAGGCGGUUUCUUAAGUCUGAUGUGAAAGCCCCCGGCUCAACCGGGGAGGGUCAUUGGAAACUGGGGAACUUGAGUGCAGAAGAGGAGAGUGGAAUUCCACGUGUAGCGGUGAAAUGCGUAGAGAUGUGGAGGAACACCAGUGGCGAAAGCGACUCUCUGGUCUGUAACUGACGCUGAGGCGCGAAAGCGUGGG
rnacentral:rRNA from 1 species